rnacentral:rRNA from 1 species
GACGAACGCUGGCGGCGUGCUUAACACAUGCAAGUCGAACGGAAAGGCCCUGCUUGCCGGGUACUCGAGUGGCGAACGGGUGAGUAACACGUGGGUGAUCUGCCCUGCACUUCGGGAUAAGCCUGGGAAACUGGGUCUAAUACCGGAUAGGAGCCAUUUUUAGUGUGAUGGUUGGAAAGUUUUUUCGGUGUAGGAUGAGCUCGCGGCCUAUCAGCUUGUUGGUGGGGUAAUGGCCUACCAAGGCGGCGACGGGUAGCCGGCCUUAGAGGGUGGACGGCCACAAUGGGACUUAGAUACGGCCCAGACUCCCACGGGAGGCAACAGGUGGGAAUAUUUCACAAGUGGCGCAAGCCCGAUGCAGCCACGCCGCGGGGGGGAAUACGGCCUUCGGGUUUUAAACCCCUUUCGCUAUGUACCAAGCUUUUUGUGACGGUACCUAGAUAAGAAGCACCGGCUAACUACGUG